AUCGUACUACCUCCGUCCGGAAAUACUUGUCCUCGAAAUGGAUAAAAUGAAUGUAUCUAUAACUAAAAUAAGUCUAGAUACAAUCAUUUUGAGGACAAGUAUUUUCGGACGGAGGGAGUAUGUG
rnacentral:pre_miRNA from 1 species